UGAAAGAAAUACAGGAAAAUGUGAAUUUCAUGCCUGGUUCCAGCCUUUUCUGGUUCUUCCAGAUUAGAACCUUCCAUAAAUAUGAUUGUUAAACCACACCGUGACAGAACAGGUCCUAUUUUAAAUCAUGUUUUUACACUUUUGACCUAGCCUUUAAGGGUAUUCUUACUGAUGUUUCUGACACAAAAGGUUUUCAGCAAGGAGUGCCAAAUUCAGUCUGUCAACAUGAAGUUGGACUUUGGCUGAACACAUACCAAAAACGAGGGUUCCCCAGGUCAGAACAACAAGUACUGUUUGUCAUUGCUAAUGUUUCCCCACAAUAAAGAUUCCACGGUUCAAUCAUGUACAUCACUAUCACAAGGUUUUUUCUCACCGAUUGUGACCUUUUAAUUAACACGUCUUUAUCUUCACUUUUUCUUAACAUAUUACUAAAGAAUCAGAAAUAUACACUCACCGGUCGGUUACACAGCUCAGGAGAAGACAGCUCCUCUUUUUCUGCAGGUAGGAAGAAGGGUGACUGGGAAGCUGAUGUGAACUCCUGGGUGUAAUCUGCAGGCAUGGUCUGGACGGAGGCCAAAGGUGUUUCAUGGAUCGACACAGGCUGUACUGAAGAUGGGCUUCCUGGCUGCUGGGACACCAGUCCCUCUGUGUGUAUACUGGACUCAGGUGUCACCAAGGAGCAGUCACCCUCACUGACAUACUCUGAAACAUGUACAACAGAUAAACAUGAAGUCACCUUU